rnacentral:rRNA from 1 species
AGGACGAACGCUGGCGGCGUGCUUAACACAUGCAAGUCGAGCGGAAAGGCCCUUCGGGGUACUCGAGCGGCGAACGGGUGAGUAACACGUGAGCAACCUGCCCUUAGCUCCGGGAUAGCUCCGGGAAACCGGAAUUAAUACCGGAUAUGACCUAGGCCGACAUCGGCUGUGGUGGAAAGUUUUUCGGCUGGGGAUGGACUCGCGGCCUAUCAGCUUGUUGGUGGGGUAAUGGCCUACCAAGGCGACGACGGGUAGCCGGCCUGAGAGGGCGACCGGCCACACUGGGACUGAGACACGGCCCAGACUCCUACGGGAGGCAGCAGUGGGAAUCUUGCGCAAUGGGCGAAAGCCUGACGCAGCGACGCCGCGUGGGGAUGAAGGCCUUCGGGUUGUAAACCCUUCAGCAGGGACGAAGCGAAAGUGACGGUACCUGCAGAAGAAGCGCCGGCUAACUACGUGCCAGCAGCCGC